UGGUCAAGCUACAAAGGGCUCACGGUGGAUACCUUGGCACACAGAGGCGAUGAAGGACGUGGUUACCUGCGAUAAGUCUCGGGGAGCUGGAAACACGCUUUGAUCCGGGAAUUUCCGAAUGGGGCAACCCCUAGAACGGCCGCCUGAAUCCAUAGGGCGGUGCGAGCCAACCCAGCGAACUGAAACAUCUUAGUAGCGGAGAAA
rnacentral:rRNA from 1 species